GAUAAGAACGCAGCGAAAUGCGAUAAGUAAUGUGAAUUGCAGAAUUCAGUGAAUCAUCGAAUCUUUGAACGCAUCUUGCGCUCCUUGGUAUUCUGAGGAGCAUGCCUGUUUGAGUGUCAUUAAAUUCUCAACUACACUGACUUUGAAUUGGUGUGGCUUGGAUUUGGGGGGAAAAUUGUUGUGGGCUUUUUGUAUAGUCUGCUCCCCUGAAAUUGAUUAGCGGUACCUUUGUGGAACUGUCUACAGGUGUGAUAAUUAUCUACAUCUUAGACAUCUGCUGGAAUGCUGCUUUCUAAACCUUACUUGUAUUGCCCAUCUUGACCUCGAAUCAGGUAGGACUACACGCUGAACAUUAGCAUAUCAAUAAGCGGAGGA
rnacentral:misc_RNA from 1 species